UCAUGAGAACCUGACCCAAGGAUCAGAAACGUAAUCGCGCCGUCUGCUGCUGCGUAGCCGAGCCGAGUUUACAGAAUAUCUUUUUCCUUGCCUUAUCCAGCGGACUGCUGCUGUUCCACACUCCAUAGCCACUCCUUGUACGUACAGCUCCGUGGAAGAGGAUUCCGACGAGGACGAGGUGAGGUCCGCCGCUUGGCACCGUAGCUGGCGGCCAGCCGGGAGCUGUCGCGGCUAGCGCUGCCCGCCUCUGGCUGGCUGCACCGCCAGGGGCCAUGACCCGUCGCAGCUAGCGCCCCCCGCCUCCGGCGUGCUGCACUGCGUGGGGCAGUGGCCUUGACUGGAGGCAAGAUGGGUUCCGUGCAAGCUAGCUCCGCCCGCUUCAGCCGCGCUGCGACGCGCGGGGCUGUAUCCUUGGCCGGUGGGAAGACGGGGGCCGUCGCGGCUAGCUCCGCCCGCCUCGGGCGCGUCCAAGGCUGUGGCCGACCCGCUCCCUCAUAGAAGGUGGAACCACAGCGCGUGCACCCAGUCGGCGGGCGCGGCCGUGGCUGGUGGCGAGAUGCCGCGGGAGGUUGUUGGGUCACACUUGAAGAAGGCGUGAGCUCGAUGCAUCUCAACAGGAAAAGAACAGUUCCACAUCUAACAUCAAAAGGAAUAGUAAGGUGGAUUACUACAUCUCAAAGGGAAGUAUUACAUCUGAAGGAAAUAAAUGCAGAUGAUUCAGAGUUUCCAACCUUAAGCAUAUUUGUUUAUCUAGACAGAAACAGGGUAAUGAUAUAGCUAGCACUGAAGGAAAUAAAUUAUAGUGGAAUGCUGAAGGAUUAAUUUGCAUGUCCAUGUUCUUAAGAAAGCAAAAGAGAAUCUUGGCUCACUAUACACCAACAAGAGCGAGUUUAGGGCUGAAUUCCACAAAGUGGUGAAUCACAUGUGACAAGUGUUGAAGAAUUUGAGGCUGCCUGGGUAUACUUGUUGAAAAAUACAAUUUGAAGUCCCACAAUUACAUGACAAACCAGUUCGAGAUGCGUCGAAAAUGGGCAUCAAGCCCAAUGCAUGUGUUCGUCCGUCAGUACAUGAGGCUACAAUUCGACCGGGAAUCAGAUGAAAGCUACCAAGAAAACAAGACAAGGAUUAGUAGUGCUGUGAUGAGGACAAACGUUGCUAUCGAAAGGCACGCGAGUAAGAUUUACACAAGAAAGAUGUUUGAACAAUUUGGUGAGAAUCUAUUUGAAGGUGGAUCAUACCAAGUCGAGGAGAUUGAAAAGAAAAAGAAAAACAUCGCAAGGCACAACGACGCCUUAAAACGAGAGAAGUGGAGUAAGGUCGAAUACGAGGUGACCAUAUCAGAUGAAGUUGACUGGUUUGAAUGUGAAUGCGGGCAGUUUGCCCACAUGGGAAUGUUUUGCUCCAUGCUUUGAAGGUGAUGAACCACGUUGGUGUACUGGAGAUACCCAAGCGGCACAUCCUAAAAAGAUGGACGAAAGAUGCUAGAGACAUCUUGCCACAACACAUAGUUCACUUUCAAAAGGAUCAGGCUGCGAAUCAAUCUUUUACCUGUCGGAGCUCAACUCUGUACCUGCACGCCAUGGAACUGGUGAGGAUUGGAGAAUCAUCAAUCUCUGCAUACGAGCUCGUAUUUGGGAGGAUCAAGGACUUAAUCAUAGAGGUAUCUUCGCUGGCGGAAAAGACGGAUGGUUUAGGAAUUGAGGAUAGGAUAGCUGCUGAAUCAAGUCGAAAGAACAAUGGCUCGGUAGGGGCAAUCAUAAACAUUGAUGCACAGAUGGGUGACAAUGAGAACCAGCAUGACCGCGUCUGGCAAUUGGGAUGCCCUCGCUGGUUUGUCUGCUCCAAGCAAGAAGCGUGGUGUUGGCCGGCCGUGCUCGAGCAGAGAGAAAGUGUCAUACGAAGGCUUGAGUAAGCGCACAAGGUUGUGCCGUAUAUGCAAAAGCUCCCAGGGCAUAAGAGGACAAUCUGCCUGUGCUGAAACAACCUCACAAGCCUGUUACAUGCAAGAACUGUUGUGUGACGGGACAACGUCGCACCUCCUGCACGAGGCCGCUUGUGCCCAACGCUUAGGACUUUUUUCAGACCAUGUGUAAAACUAUAAUAAUCGAGGAUUUUCUAGAGCGUGA